rnacentral:rRNA from 1 species
UACGGAGGGGGCUAGCGUUGUUCGGAAUUACUGGGCGUAAAGCGCACGUAGGCGGCUUUGCAAGUUAGAGGUGAAAGCCCGGGGCUCAACUCCGGAAUUGCCUUUAAAACUGCAUCGCUAGAAUUGUGGAGAGGUAAGUGGAAUUCCCAGUGUAGAGGUGAAAUUCGUAGAUAUUGGGAAGAACACCGGUGGCGAAGGCGGCUCACUGGCUCGUAUCUGACGCUCAGGCGCGAUAGCGUGGGGAUCAAACAGG